GACGAACGCUGGCGGCGUGCUUAACACAUGCAAGUCGAACGAUGAAGCCGGAGCUGGAGCUGGUGAAUUAGUGGCGAACGGGUGAGUAAAACGUGAGUAACCUGCACUCGACUAUGGGACAACUGCGGGUAACUGUAGCAAAUACCAGAUACGCCACUAGGAGGCGUCUCCUGGGGGUGGAAAGAAUUUCGGUCACGGAUGGACACGCGGCCUAUCAGCUAGUUGGUGAGGUAAAGGCGCACCAAGGCGACGACGGGUAGCCGGCCUGAGAGGGUGGCCCGCCACACUGGGACUGAGACACGGCCCAUACUCCUACGGGAGGCAGCAGUGGGGAAUAUUGCGCAAUUGGCGCAAGCCUGAUGCAGCAACGCCGCGUGAGGGAUGACGGCCUUCUGGUUGUAAACCUCUGUUAGCAGGGAAGAAGCGAAAGUGACGGUACCUGCAGAAAAAGCGCCGGCUAACUACGUGCCAGCCGCCGCGGUAA
rnacentral:rRNA from 1 species